CUUUGGGAACAGCUUUGUAGGAGAGGGAAGGUGACACCUUUCAGUAGCACAAUAUUUUUAACCUUGGUUUGCUGCUGCGAGAGGCUCAGGUUUUGAAAUGCGUCGCCGAUGGUGGAGGAACAUGAUUGAGGCUACCAUUAUAUUGGAGGAAAUAGUUUUAAAGCCUCAUGCUAUCAGAUGAUGCUGUGUGUGUCCGAAGUGCUGUAUCUGCCUGCGCUGUGCCUCUGCCUCAAGAUCCAGUAUUCCAGGAAAACUUGUUACACUAGAGAUCAAGCUUUAAGCCUACAUGUCCCUUUGAGGUGUAGAACCAACUCGGAACGUGGUCCUACAGCUCCAGAUCCAAGCUGGAAGCAGGCUGAAGCUUCAGAGGGCUUUGCGAGGCUAUGGCACUUGUAAACCUGAACCCACAUGACAUUUCUGAGUCUUCUGGUGGUGGCUGCUGUUCACCUCACUAAUGGGAUCGCUAUCUGCCUCUGAAAUUUCUGAAGCCUCAGAAGCUGUCACACCAACUGCUUUUCCACCUCCAUUUGGUUUUAACAGCAAGUGGGACGUGCGUGUUUGAGCAACCUGUCUACCGUGCAAAGGUAAAGAAUCUUUAAGUCCCAUGCGGAGUGGCUGGUCCAGCUUUACCUUGAAAACCUCCAAGAAAUAAACAAGUCAUUAAUGUUGGGAGUUGAAGCGCUGAAUCAUGCCUCCCACGCUUUAGAACUUGUGUUCCAUUGAGUCUAAUUAUUUCACACUUGCUACACGGAUCUUUGAGCAACCUCUUCUGAGAAUAUUCACACUGAAAAAGAAAAAGCUCUGAUAAGAAGUCUAACACUGGGACAAAGGCUCUGGUCAAACUCGCCGGAACCAAAUGUUGACUGGUCUCCCAGGAAUGACGGCACCAAACAAAUUCAGGCAAACUUGGAAUUACAGCGAGAGCAGCGUAGUCAACGUGCAGCUGACCAGGUGUAUUGCAACCUCAAGAAAAUGCUGAACCAUAAAAGCACUUUAACCGGUUCCAUCUGUGUAUCUGAGAUGGAGUGAGAGUAUGUUUGAAUUCCAUCAAAUCCCUCUCCUCUGUUGCAGCCCUGAGCAGAGCAGAGAGUCAGCAGAAAUAGGACACUGCUUUUUGCUGUUGCUUGAGGACUGGGGAUAGGGAGUUACUAUUUGUUUAAAAAUGGAUAAAUAAAUCACUAACCUACAGCAAACUCAGGAAGGCAAUGUAUCAGGUACUCGACAGCUCUUAGUGCUGAGAAGGAACUUCAGCACUACGACAUUGUUUUCCUGUGUGCCAUUCUUAUCUGACAGGUAGUACCAGCUGCCAGAACCCAUGUGGCUUUACUCUGUACUUUGUAUUGAAAUAUAAAUGGAGCUGAAUGCUUGUCAUAGUCCUGUGGGCAGGGCUCCUGACUACUGCAGAGUUUAAUAUUGUGAUUGGCAACGUGAAAUCAGCUGAUGUAAUCCAUUCCAUUACAGAUAUUCACGGCAUGCCAUAUUACAAUACAGAGGCAGAGGUUUAGAGACUAGAAAGAUGUGACAAGCCAAAAAGCCAACCCAUUCAGAACCAAGGCUGGCACUGAAGAGCACCCCUCACUUUACAUUCACAAAAGUUCCUUUUAAUGCCAUUAGGAGUACACAGGAAGCAAAAUUCAGGUCAGGCACAAAGCACAUGGCAAAUAAAGUCACGGUUCCCCAGGCCACAUCUGACUGUAGAUCUGUCUUUAGCAUUACCUAGUGACUCAUGAUCACCAGCAUGUAUUGUCCAAAGUCAUUCCUAGGUUUCCCCAUUCUUUGGCCAAACAUCACAAGGCUUGGCUUAUUGUAGUGCAGGGGGAAGGAGCAGCACAGAGGCGUUUGUUCCUCUUUCUAGCAGCCUCACAGUACUCCGGCAGUAGCUCAGAAGCUGAUGCAGUGAUCUGUGUGCUAUUACAAGUCACAAAGCUCUGUGCAGUUUACUUAUACUUUCGAAGUCCUGGAUAUUUCCUUCCUGAAUUUCUCACAUGCCACCAGCCUCCAUCAGAAGCCAACUCUCAUCAAGCAGCUCUUUUAGACUUGAGGGUGCAGGCAGAGUGACCCCCACCUGCUGACUAACCCAUUUCUUUCCCAAAGCACGUGUUGAGCAAAAUCAGCACUUCCACUGGUUUUAAGGGGGGCUGUUCUUGUGGAAGGCACUGGAGAGGCUUCACAUGCAACUGAGGAGUUUCUACUACAGACCAUUGAUGAAAUAUACGCAGCUCCUGGUGCUUGGGAUUGGAAGAGAAAAAAAUACUGACAAUGUACAUUGAAUACAGUGCUGUUUUGAAUACAAAUAGGCCCAAUGUGGGUGCAUCUUUCCCCAGUUCUCUUUAACGUUCAAAGGAGGCUGGAGCCCAAGUGAUUAAUUGAACAAGGUCAUCAUGUGUUUACUUUUAUUUGUGAAGGGAGCGGUAAAAACAAAGAGUAUAUGAAACAAACGUUGUUUGCUAUACCAUUAAAUCAAUUUCUUUCCUUUUGCAAUGGUUUCUAAGUGUUGUUGGUAAAAAUAAUGUUGCUUUCACAGUAUAUCAUGUAAAGUGAUUUCAGGUGCAGUUUUUCUGCUGCUGACCUCUGCACUGCUUGCAUUUCAG
ensembl:lncRNA